rnacentral:rRNA from 1 species
GGUUAAGUUAGAAAGGGCGCACGGUGGAUCCUUGGCACUAGGAGCCGAUGAAGGACGGGACGAACACCGAUAUGCUUCGGGAGCUGUAAGCAAGCUUUGAUCCGGAGAUUUCCGAAUGGGGAAACCCACUGCUCGUAAUGGAGCAGUAUCCAUAUCUGAAUUCAUAGGAUAUGAGAAGGCAGACCCGGGGAACUGAAACAUCUAA